rnacentral:pre_miRNA from 1 species
CGCCUACGCUUCAUGGCUAGCGAGGAGUGCGGGGCAGGGCGAAGCACUGGCGACAGCGGACCCCGCACUCCUCGCUAGCCAUGACCUGCGCCGUAA